UUAGUAGCCUUGGUGCCAUAGUUGGCUUCGUAAUUGUGUAACUUGUUGUAGGUUUUCUUUGUUGCUAAAGAUAGCACUUCAGUGGUAGGGGUGAACUGCCCUCUUCACCCUACCAAUAACAAGGCCUACUGGUGGAAGACUCUUUUUAACUCUCAGUUGGAUAAAAACUGGCAUCAGGGCAUCACAUCAGACUGAACUCUUUGUCCCUGCUCACCUUUGAAAGGUACUAUGAAGUCAUUUCAGUGUUCAACAACAAGCCUCGUCGUCUCCUGCUGGAAUCAUCAAAAAAAAUGAAGAGAGCAAAAUCAUGCAGAGAGAAAACAGGCAGUGGGAUGCUUGACACCCAAAACCCCCGGCGCCAUGGGAGGGCCCGGCGUCAAGCGCACAGCGUGUAGGAAGAAGGAAAAAAAGAUUCUUUUGCCAAGUGAGGGGAAAGCAGUAUCGAUCCAUAUGCAUUGUCUCGUUAAUUUUGCCAGAGGUGUGGAUUCCUCGUGAUCAAUAUCUAGCGACUGCAUCUUUAUUCUUCUGUGUAACCUAUUACUGUCUGUGAAAUGCGAGGCCAGCACCACAAUUAGAGCUCUGGAGCAGGCAAGGCCAAUCAAUAGUUAGAUGUAUGAUCUGUACAGCAGGAAGCAAUAACUAGUCAAAGGUACAGGGUGUAUUCUGCCAAGGCUAAAGGCUAAUCUGGGUGAGUGACUCCAUCUUAGUCAAUGGCCACCUUGGUUCCCCAAAGCCCGGUUUUAAUAAGAAGAGGGGACCUCAAUGAUUUACUCAAUAGGGCUCCGGGGCUCCAGGGUCAUUUCCAUCUAUCUGCGGCUGUU